GCCUACGGGGGGCAGCAGUGAGGAAUAUUGGUCAAUGGGCGCGAGCCUGAACCAGCCAAGUAGCGUGAAGGAUGACUGCCCUACGGGUUGUAAACUUCUUUUAUAAAGGAAUAAAGUGAGGCACGUGUGCCUUUUUGUAUGUACUUUAUGAAUAAGGAUCGGCUAACUCCGUGCCAGCAGCCGCGGUAAUACGGAGGAUCCGAGCGUUAUCCGGAUUUAUUGGGUUUAAAGGGUGCGUAGGCGGAAUGCCAAGUCAGCGGUAAAAUCGCGGGGCUCAACCUCGCUCCGCCGUUGAAACUGGCGUU
rnacentral:rRNA from 1 species